CCUACGGGAGACAGCAGUGGGGAAUAUUGCACAAUGGGGGACACCCUGAUGCAGCGACGCCGCGUGAGUGAAGAAGUAUCUCGGUAUGUAAAGCUCUAUUAGUAGGGAAGAAAAUGACGGUACCUGAUUAAGAAGCUUUGGCCAAAUCCGAGCCAGCAGACGAGGGAAUACGGAGGGGGCAGGGGUUAUCCGGAUGAACUGGGUGUAAAGGUGGCGUAGAGGGUAGAACAAGUCUGAAGUGAAAGUCCGGGGCUUAACCCGGGAACUGCUUUGGAAACUGUGCGACUAGAGUGCAGAAGAGGUAAGUGGAAUUCGUGGUGUAGCGGUGAAAUGCGGAGAUAUUAGGAAGAACACCAGUGGCGAAGGCGGCUUACUGGACUGUAACUGACGUUGAGGCUCGAAAGCGUGGGGAGCAAACAGGAUUAGAUACCCCUGUAGUC
rnacentral:rRNA from 1 species